CCUACGGGCGGCUGCAGUGGGGAAUAUUGGACAAUGGGGGGAACCCUGAUCCAGCCAUGCCGCGUGUGUGAAGAAGGCCCUCGGGUUGUAAGCACUUUCAGUGAGGAAGAACGCCUGGUGGUUAAUACCCAUCAGGAAAGACAUCACUCACAGAAGAAGCACCGGCUAACUCCGUGCCAGCAGCCGCGGUAAUACGGAGGGUGCGAGCGUUAAUCGGAAUUACUGGGCGUAAAGCGCGCGUAGGUGGCUUGAUAAGCCGGUUGUGAAAGCCCCGGGCUCAACCUGGGAACGGCAUCCGGAACUGUCAAGCUAGAGUGCAGGAGAGGAAGGUAGAAUUCCCGGUGUAGCGGUGAAAUGCGUAGAGAUCGGGAGGAAUACCGGUGGCGAAGGCGGCCUUCUGGACUGACACUGACACUGAGGUGCGAAAGCGUGGGUAGCAAACAGGAUUAGAUACCCCAGUAGUC
rnacentral:rRNA from 1 species